rnacentral:rRNA from 1 species
AAUGAACGUUGGCGGCGUGGAUUAGGCAUGCAAGUCGCGCGAGAUCUUGUUGAUGGAAGCUUCGGCCGAAGUCUUCAGGUGAAAGCGGCGAAAGGGAGAGUAACGCGUGGAUACCUACCCCCGGAUCUGGGAUAGCGUUGGGAAACUGGCGGUAAUACCAGAUAAUGUCUCCGGACCAAAGGUGUGAUUCCGUCUGGGGAUGGGUCCGCGUCCUAUUAGCUUGUUGGUGGGUAAUGGCCUACCAAGGCGAAGAUGGGUAGCGGGCGUGAGAGCGUGGCCCGUCUCACUGGGACUGAGACACUGCCCAGACACCUACGGGAGGCUG